rnacentral:rRNA from 1 species
UACGUAGGCAGCGAGCGUUGUUCGGAGUUACUGGGCGUAAAGGGUGUGUAGGCGGUUCUUUAAGUUUGGGGUGAAAUCUCCCGGCUCAACCGGGAGGGUGCGCCGAAUACUGAGGGACUCGAGUGCGGGAGAGGAAAGUGGAAUUCCUGGUGUAGCGGUGAAAUGCGUAGAUAUCAGGAGGAACACCGGUGGUGUAGACGGCUUUCUGGACCGUAACUGACGCUGAGACACGAAAGCGUGGGUAGCAAACAGG